CUAAACCAGGACUAAACCAGGACUAAACCAGGUCUGAACCAGGACUAAACCAGGACUAAACCAGGACUAAACCAGGUCUGAACCAGGACUAAACCAGGACUAAACCAGGACUAAACCAGGUCUGAACCAGGACUAAACCAGGACUAAACCAGGACUAAACCAGGUCUGAACCAGGACUAAACCAGGACUAAACCAGGACUAAACCAGGUCUGAACCAGGACUAAACCAGGACUAAACCAGGACUAAACCAGGUCUGAACCGGGACUAAACCAGGACUAAACCAGGACUAAACCAGGACUAAACCAGGUCUAAACCAGGUCUUAAACCAGGACUGAACCAGGACUGAACCAGGACUGAACCAGGACUGAACCAGGGCUAAACCAGGACUGAACCAGGACUGAACCAGGACUGAACCAGGACUGAACCAGGACUGAACCAGGACUGAACCAGGGCUAAACCAG